AGGAGGAGCCUUUUUCCAAGAGGAAAAGAAGAAUCCUUUUGAUGCUGAUUGCAUCAGCUUUGAUCUGUUUUCGGGCACCCAGAUGGACGGCUGGAAAGAAAAUGUUUGCUGUGCAGCCUUCAAUAAGGUCUGAUGUAACUACAACUAGAGAUAAAUAAUUUAACAAGGGACGUUCACCGGGCAGCUAGAUCUACUACUUGGCCAGAUUUAACAAGCAGGACAGCACGUCAUGGUACCAAGUGCAUGCUGAGACACAAGGGCACUGCACGACACUACGAGUUGCAGCCGAAGCCAAUACAGAUGUUUCUGCGCGGUCUGCUCGUCUUCCGAACAAGAAUGCAGAAGCGAGGCCAGGAAGAGCAAAAGAAAAAGAACGUUCACCAUUUAUGUAAGCCCUUGGUGUUCUAAGCAGCCAGUUGGACAUUGCACAGUAGUAGGACUUGAGUCUCAAGUCAAAGCAUAAUUAAAGCAUUUAAAAAAACAUGCUGGAGCAAUCCUCUCUCUGGUGGCUUUGAACACCAAGGGCAUCCGCAAAUGGUGAAUUUUCGCUUCCCAAUUUUGUAAAAUUGUUCAGUUCAAAUUGAAGAAAUUUAUAAGGUAAAUCAAAUAGCUAUGCUGUGAGGAAAGAAGUGUUUUCUCGUACACUGUACAGCAGCAGUUUCAGCCUUCCUUCUCAACAUGUAUACUUCACCUCUAAAACACAUUCAAAUAUACGCAUUACCAUAUUGAUUUGGGUAGCCGAAACAGCUGCUUCACUGUACAUGAACAUAAAAUCUUUUUAUAUUUCAUAAAUAUUUUAAUUAUCACUACAAGAUGAAAUAAUCCAGACUUAGUUUCCCACGCUAGAGCCAUUCAGAUUUCAUUAUAUUCAUGAUUACAUCUCAUCAUUGUGUUUUUAAUUUUGUUUUACUGUGAAUUAUUGUUAAAGAAUUAACCAAUUGCGAAAGAUUAAGUGUUUGAAGCUGUAAACGGAUCGCGCCACUGUCUAAAACCGUGUACUUCUGAUAUAAAGUUCUCAAUCCUGCUGCUUAUGCAUUCUGCUCGUAAAAUGAAUUAUUUGUAAGUGUUGAAACUCAAAAUAAGUCCAGCCAAUCAACACAGCAUCGCGAGAAACAUAUUUUGCCAUGAAAAAGUCAUUCCCGGCAAUUCUGUUUGCGGCGAUUGGCUGGGCUGAAUUUUCUUUCAGCAUACAUCCAAAGAAAUCUAAAUAGCAGGAUGCAUAUGAUAGCAGGAAUAAUUCUAAUAAGUGUUUUCAAAUGAAAAUUAACUGUUGGUGCCAUUUAUUUACAGCUUAAAAACUAUUUGUAUGAGACUUUCGCAACUGUUAAAAUUGUAGGGAACAUUUUCAAGCUAAUUACGCUUACUUGGUGUGAUAUAAAGUAUUGUAGCUAUAUACUUCAAUUUAAUUGGCAGAUCUCAAUUGACUAGUUGUAUAAACCCGGUGUUCGAAGCCGUCAACGGAUGGCGCAACCAUAGACUUUCUUAAAACUUUAAUUUUUAAGGCACAUCCGUUGCGAUUUCAGACUCAAUCUAGCUACCGUGCAUUCUUAAUUAAUUAUGCUCACUUUUGAUGUGCUGAAAACUAAAAUCAGUCUAGCCGUUCGUCGUAGGAACGUUAGAAAACAUUUUUUUAUUUCAAAAAAUAGUUUUUCACGUUUCUACGGCGAUUGGCUUAACCGAUUUUCGUUUUGAGCGCGUCAAAAGAAAGCAUUUAUUUAAUUAAGAACGCACGGUAGCUAGAUUGAGUCUGAAAUUGCAGCGGAAGUGCCUAAAAACUAAUAUUUAAGUCUCUGGUUUCGCCAUCAAUAGGCGGCUUCGAACACUAACGGUUAAUAAAACUGGUCAAUGAAAAAGAAAACUGUGUAUUUAUAGUUAAAAUGUAUGUUAUGUUUUGAAAUGAAUAAAAUAUUUAUUGAAUUUUGAAAGAAUAGAACCAAUGGAUUUAAUUUUGAAAUUCAGCCUUGAUUCUUUGUUGAUUUGGUCUUGACGUCAAGGAAAACAAACUUAAGUUAAAAACGUGAUUAACCGAAAAACAAUGCGAAAAAAGUGAAAUACCCGCAAGGGGAAUUUUUGGCUGACUUUGAAAUUCAAGAUUGAUUCAAGUCUGGAUCAAAGAAAAAAAGGACCAUUCCAGAUAUUGAAUCAAUCUUGACGUCAACCUUGAAUCAGAUUUGACGCCCUUGAAUGUCAGCCUUGAUUCAAUUUUGAAUCAGCAUUGAGUGGUUA